AAUAGAUUUUCUAGCAAAUAUAAAAAACCGGGAAAACGUAGGAAAAACGGGAAAAUUAGUACAAUAUUAAACAAAUAUUUAAAAAAUAAAUAUAUGAUGCUUACAUAAUUAUUUUACUACAAUAUGACAUAUGUAUAUAUUAAUGACAAAGAAUCACUAUUAACUGGACUCCGCUCAGAAUCGUUUUUAGUAAGCAAUGAUUU